CUGGAAGCAGCCGCAUCAUUCUCACUCACAGUCCAUUGGCCAGAACUAGUCACAUGACCCCACCUGAGGCAAGGGGUGCUGGGAAAUGUAGUCUGGAGGGGUUGGGGAAUUUAGGGGCUGCUAGCUGUCUCUGUCACUGAGCCCUCAAAUUCACCCUCUGCUCCACAGGGUGACUCACAGAAGAUGCUGGGAUGGACAGGACACACUUCCACCUGGGGUCCUUCAGUGCUCUCUUAUCACUUGCUGGACACUGACCACCUUCUUAAAAUGGCACCAAAGUCCUUGCCGACUCACUUCCUACCUCUCUGGUUUACGUCGCAGGGACAUCCCUCAUAACUGUCCCCCUACCCCCACCCCCGUGAGGGUCUCUCAGCCUCUCUUCCCUCACAGCAGAGUCUGGCCGCCUCUGUCCUAGCCCCCAGCACUCAGCCCAGCUCCAGGUGAUCCUCACUGCUCCGCCCGCGCUCACUCCUGGCGCCCCCUCCCAUCUCACUCGCUGUCUUCAGGGCCUCAUCUUGGAAGCUGACUGUGAUCCCGGUUCUCACUCCAGACCCAGAGCUCCUGCAAGGCGAGGAUGAUGUUUCCUUCUCCUGUGCGUCCCCUCCCGGUGCCUGGCACCCAGAAAUGCUCAAUAAGCGUUGAUGGAGGGGACGGAGGCCAAGACAGGGAACAGCCACGUGCGUGUGCCAGCAGGGGACACACGAGCCAGCGUUGCUGAGAUGACAAGACAAACUGAUCACCAGAGCCCGCACUGGGUCCAGCGUCGUCUUCCGGGCCCCCAGCUCCACUGCAGGCUCCAGGAGACGCCCUGAGCUAACAUCCGUGCCCAUCCUCCUCUGCUUUAUAUGUGGGACGCCUGCUACAGCGCGGCUGGAUAAGUGGUGAGGAAGUCUGCGAGGGGGAUCUGAACCAGCGAACCCCAGGCCGAUGACGGGGAGCACACCAACUUAACCCCUAUGCCACCCGGCCGGCCCCUGUUCUGUAUUUUUUUAAAAUAAACUUUUUAAUUUGAAAUGAUUUGAGAUCGACAGAGACACUGCAUUGCUGUGCAUCUUGAACUCCAAGCUCUUCCUGUGGUCGGCAGAGGCCAGCGCAGUCAGAGCUCUUGGGGUCCUGAGGAGUCAGCGCUCGGCUAAUCCCAUUACUUUGGUGCUCUAAGUCAAAAUCUCCCGCAAAUUACUAGGGAACUGAGACUCUGCGGAAGGUUCUGGAGUCCGUGAUAACACUGGGAGCUGUAAAAUUUUUAACUUGUGAUUCAUAUUUCUAAUGACACCAUACUUCCUCUCGGGGCCAACAACAGCCUCUCGGCAAACACUUCCGCCUGAGGUGUGGCCAGGGAGUUGGCAGAGGACAGAGGGCGCCAAGACAACUGACCCCUGUUAACAGCUGCUCUGCGUCCUGCGGCGUCUGCUGGCUCCCCACUGGCUGUGGCAGAGCCAUCCAGUAGAAAUCGAAAGCGACCUGCCUCCUGCCUUCCUGCCUCUGACGGCUCCCCGGCGAGCGCUGAGACCUGGUUUUCUCACCAUCUCUUUCUCUGCUUUGCAUCUUUCGCGCGGAUGAGGCUCUGCCCACGCGGUUGGCUUGAACGAAGGGCUUCCACUUCAGAGAUGGAGACUCGUCUGGGGCAGGUCUUGCCGUUGUUUUCCAGACCCCGUCACCCUGGUUCUGGCGGGAAGUACUCGGAGGCGGUGAUGCAGUCUGCAGGGCCUCCGCCGCGGGAGGAGUGCUCGGCAACGCCAUGGGCACUCUCAGUACAGAUGUUGACGAGGACAAUCGUCCUCUAUGUUGACCUCUUGAUCUUUUUCCUGUCCCCACCUUUGGCACUUGAACCACGAGCCACCACUGCCAUGGCAAUGGCGAGGAGGGUGUUGGUUGUGGUGUCUCGAUGGUGAGAGCGCCCGAGCCUUGGUCGUGCUUCUCUGCGCACAGCUCGCCUGCUCCCUACUCCAGCGGCUGACGGGCUCACUCGCUGAACUCUGGGUCUUCUCUAGGCACCUAAGUUAGAGUAAGCAAAGAAAUAAAAGAGG
rnacentral:lncRNA from 1 species